rnacentral:lncRNA from 1 species
UAAAAAGGAAAACAAUUUCUCGUUAAUCAGAAAACAGGGGAAGGAAAGGAAAGCAAAGAAGCAAAUAUAUGUAUUGAUGAUAAGAUAAGAUGGAUCAUGUCGGUAGAGAGAGAGAGAGAGCAGCAGACCUUUUGUUCUCCUCCCAUGGCUGUAGGCUGCUUAGAGAAUUGAGAGGGGGAAGAAAUAAGGGGAAAAUGAGUUUGUGAAGUGGAAUAAUGAAGAUAGAAAGCUGAGAGGACACUUGGAUACAGAUAUGAGAAAGGCAAAAUUAUUUGUUGGAAUUUGGAACUUAAUUAAGCUAGCUGGUUUAUUGUGCGAUCUGGUUCACACGAUAAUGAUAUGAGAGGACUGGGGAGAAAGUUUAUCGUAGCCAAAGGCUAGCUAAUUUGUACCAACCAUAUAUGAGUAUGAUUGUAUG